UACGUAGGGGGCGAGCGUUGUCCGGAUUUAUUGGGCGUAAAGAGCUCGUAGGCGGCUCAUCAAGUCGGCUGUGAAAGCCCGGGGCUCAACCCCGGGAUUGCAGUCGAUACUGUUGUGGCUAGGGUCCGGUAGAGGAGAACGGAAUUCCCGGUGUAGCGGUGGAAUGCGCAGAUAUCGGGAGGAACACCAGUAGCGAAGGCGGUUCUCUGGGCCGGUACCGACGCUGAGGAGCGAAAGCGUGGGGAGCAAACAGG
rnacentral:rRNA from 1 species